GCUAGUGUUAAAAUCAAUAAUAUCGGAUGAAGAUCUUUAAGUUUAAACGUUUCAACAUUUAGUGAAAUAUCACAAACCUAAUGAGUGAAUUAGCGAAUUGUUUCCCUUUGAAAUCAACACGCCAUUAUCGGUGGAUACAUGUCUGAAACUGGGUCAGAGAAUACAUGCAGUUAUUGCUCUGAAUAUACGCGGAUAUUUAAAGUGCAUGGCGGAUUUAAUAAUUGUUAUGGAUAACCUCCAGCAGUAAGAAAUAUAAAGGCUCACUGGAGUUUUGAGUGCUCAACAAGUAUUGACCCCAUACUAUGCUUGAAGCAAGUAGUGCCCUUGUAUUUCUGUGAAUCCUCAUGCAGUACAGUACUGCUGUUGGAAGAGGAGCAAACAGUGUGGUAUCUAUGGUCCACCAUCACUUCAAGCAUCAUGGCUAUGGGGAAAAGAAUGUUUCAUUACAUAUGGACAAUUAUAUUGGACAAAAUAAGAAAAGUGUUGUAAUAAGCUAUGGAAUGUGGCUUGUUAUGAUGGGUCUACAUGAUGACUAGGAGUACAACCUGAUUGAGGCCCGGCAUACAGAAUUCAGCCCUGAACAUGUUUUGAAUGUCUUCUGCAUGACCUGGUAUAGAUAGUAUUCUUGAAGGAUUAUAACUUCAACACAGAGACGGAGAUUACUAUUUUUAGGCAGGGGGUUGGCAUGACAGGCAAAUUCACCAACCGUAUUACCAUUCCUGAGCUGGAUGCCAGUCGACAGUGGUACCUGUAUAAUGAAAUAGCGCCCCUUUGCAGCAACAGCAAUGUAUGCUCAAAACCAGCAGUGUCAAAGCCAUUAAAAUUGAUAAUUCAAGUCAUUUAAAACGAAGAAUGAAUGGAAAAAAGUGUUUAACAUUUAAAGUAAUACAGAGAAAGAGCUUUGAAAUUUUGAUUAAUUUGAAAGUGUUUUUGAUUUUUUGAAGAUGUACUAGACCCUAAUUCCAUAUAUUUGAAAAAGAACAAAUGAUACAUAUAGUUUAUGUAAACAUUGAAUUAACAACUUUAUGGUGUCAACAGUACUAUGCCUUUGUUAAAUAUUGACUCACUAUAUACAUGUAAGGCUGAACACAGAAUAAAUGUGAAAUUCCUCUAAAACACUGGAAGAUUUUUCAACAGUAAUUGUAACAUAUAUGGUAGUAAUGUACAUUUUUUUCAUUACGACAGUUGGAUUAUAUAGAUCUACAAAUAUUUUCUGCUGUAUUCAAACUGUAAUCACUUCUGUCGGCAGUAUCAUGUUUAUUUUCCCUUUUCAUGAACAAUUAAUUUAACCUGUCUUGAAAGCACAAUAUAUGUAUAAUUUGUAAAACAUACAUUGGAUUAUUGUGGAAACAAUUUAGUUUUUGUAUGCCUAAUUAUAUAUUACUGCCGUUAGUAUCAUCUAACUCUUUUAAUAUGAUCAAAACAUUUAAUAAGGCAGUUUUCUUAAACUAUUACUGUGUGUUAAAUGAGAUUAUGUAGUAUUAUGUUUACGGAAUUAACUGCGUAACCAUGGAAACAUUUUUCUGUUGUUCUAUAUUAUGUCUUGAAAAAAAAACAUUGUCCGAAGAACACUUUUCAGUGGUGCAUUUUUUUAAAAUUUUUACAUGUAAUGGUAAAUGCUGAAAGUGUUCUACAAUAACUUAGCAAAAACGUCAUUGUUGUCUCAUUGAAGCAUAUACUGCAACUCCAUUGUAACCAUAGCAACAGAAAUAUAUUGUAUUAUUUAUGAAUAAUGAUCUUCACAAACAAA